GAGUUUGAUCCUGGCUCAGGAUGAACGCUGGCGGCGUGCCUAACACAUGCAAGUCGAACGGGGUAUAUAAGCGGAAGUUUACGGAUGGAAGGUUAUAUACUUAGUGGCGGACGGGUGAGUAACGCGUGGGCAACCUGCCCCGUGCCGGGGGAUACCGCCUGGAAACAGGCGCUAAUACCGCAUAAGCGCAUACAGCCGCAUGGGUGUAUGCGGAAAGCUCCGGCGGCACGGGAUGAGCCCGCGCCCGAUUAGCCAGUUGGCGGGGUAACGGCCCACCAAAGCGACGAUCGGUAGCCGGCCUGAGAGGGCGGACGGCCACAUUGGGACUGAGACACGGCCCAAACUCCUACGGGAGGCAGCAGUGGGGAAUAUUGCACAAUGGGGGAAACCCUGAUGCAGCAACGCCGCGUGGGUGAAGGAGCGUUUCGGCGCGUAAAGCCCUGUCAGCGGGGAAGAAGAAAGACGGUACCCGACCAAGAAGCCCCGGCUAACUACGUGCCAGCAGCCGCGGUAAUACGUAGGGGGCGAGCGUUAUCCGGAAUUACUGGGUGUAAAGGGAGCGUAGACGGCGAGGUAAGCCUGAAGUGGAAGCCCGCGGCCCAACCGCGGAACUGCUUUGGGAACUGUUUUGCUGGAGUAUGGGAGGGGUAAGCGGAAUUCCUGGU
rnacentral:rRNA from 1 species